rnacentral:rRNA from 1 species
AGCGAACGCUGGCGGCAUGCUUAACACAUGCAAGUCGCGCGGGUGGUUUCGGCCAUCAGCGGCGGACGGGUGAGUAUCGCGUAGGAAUGUAUCCCGAGGUGGGGGACAACCCUGGGAAACUGGGGCUAAUACCGCAUGGGGCCUGUGGGUCAAAGCCUUAGGGCGCCUUGGGAGCAGCCUGCGUCCGAUUAGGUAGUUGGUGGGGUAAAGGCCUACCAAGCCUGCGAUCGGUAGCUGGUCUGAGAGGACGAUCAGCCACACUGGGACUAAGACACGGCCCAGACUCCUACGGGAGGCAGCAGUGGGGAAUAUUGGACAAUGGGCGCAAGCCUGAUCCAGCAAUGCCGCGUGGGUGAAGAAGGUCUUCGGAUUGUAAAGCCCUUUCGGCGGGGACGAUGAUGACGGUACCCGCAGAAGAAGCCCCGGCUAACUUCGUG